GCAAGUCGAGCGAGAAAGCACUUCGGUGCGAGUAGAGCGGCGGACGGGUGAGUAACGCGUAGGAAUCUACCCAGUAGCGGGGGACAACCUGGUGAAAACCAGGCUAAUACCGCAUACGCCCUACGGGGGAAAGGGGGCUCUUUGAGCUCUCACUAUUGGAUGAGCCUGCGUUAGAUUAGCUAGUUGGUGGGGUAAAGGCCCACCAAGCCUACGAUCUAUAGCUGGUUUUAGAGGAUGAUC
rnacentral:rRNA from 1 species